rnacentral:rRNA from 1 species
UACGAAGGGGGCUAGCGUUGUUCGGAAUCACUGGGCGUAAAGGGCGCGUAGGCGGCUUUUCAAGUCGGGGGUGAAAGCCUGUGGCUCAACCACAGAAUUGCCUUCGAUACUGUUAGGCUUGAGACCGGAAGAGGUGAGUGGAACUGCGAGUGUAGAGGUGAAAUUCGUAGAUAUUCGCAAGAACACCAGUGGCGAAGGCGGCUCACUGGUCCGGUUCUGACGCUGAGGCGCGAAAGCGUGGGGAGCAAACAGGG